UGCAAUAAUGCGUAUAACUCGGCCAUUUUUGAAGAUAUUUAGCUAAGACCUGCACGCGCUGUGGCCUGGUGUGGUGACGCGCUGUGGCCUGUUUUGGUGACGCGCUGUGGCCUGGUACGGUGACGCGCUGUGGCCCGGUGUGGUGACGCGCUGUGGCUGGUGUGGUGACGCGCUGUGGCCUGUUUUGGUGACGCGCUGUGGCCUGUUUUCAGGUGCACAACAUCACGGGAGUCGAGUACCUGUACAGCAUCAUGGACAUGAACCAGCUGGAGAUCCCGGCCUUCAUCACCGAGCACGACAUGACGAUAAACGGCGUGCGCUACUUCCGACCUCAGGCGUAACGGGCGCACACACCGUCCUCCGGACAGGACAGGACAGUCACUGGGCCGCGGUCUGUCCUGAGGACCCUGAGGACUGUCCCUGACCCGCAGUCAGGACAGGACAGGACAGGACAGGACAGGACUGUACAAUCAGCCCGGCCCGUCACCACCGGUCCGGCGGCGACACUGGGCCUCUGAGGCGACUCCGGCGCGUCCCCACCACUGGCCCGGAGGGACGUCUGCGUCAGCUGACUGCGUCACCGGGACCGGGACGGGACGGGACGGGACGGGCGGCCACUCGGGGCCAGCCGCCGCGAUCGAGCUUCAGCCGGCGGCCAGCGCAGCGGCGCCGCCCGGCGUUUCUGUAGCGAGCGAGUCAGCGCGGCGGUACGGUAGGUCUGUGAUUAUUGUGACCCGGCGGGUCUGUAUAGGGGGCGCUGGGCGGCAGUAUAGGGGGAGGGCCGGGAGCCAGUCUGUAUAGGGGGCGCUGGGCGGCAGUAUAGGGGGAGGGCCGGGAGCCAGUCUGUUUAGGGGUCACUGGGACGGCCGGUAUAAUUGGAGGUUGGUGGCCGACUGAAUCAGUCUGGCGCCGAGUGACCUGCGUGAGCCGCCGGGUCGCCCCCCCCCUCCCCCUCCCCUCCUCUGUGGGGCGGCCGGCGCGGCGGCUACUGGUGCAAGGCAACCACCGAGCGCCCUGCACUGCGCGCCGGCCCGGCCCGGCCCGGACGGGGGGGUUUUAUACGUGCGGCUCGUGCGGCCAGUCUCCCGUGGUAUACCCCGCCUUAGAUAGCGCGCCCGUAGCGCUGGUGCUGAUUGCCACCACCCCCCCCCCCCUCCCCAAUAUAUAAUUCGGCGGCGCGCCGACUGUAUACGAAUGGUUCGCCUCGCGACUGUGGCGCCCCUAGCGGCCGGCGCCCGCACUAGCUCCAUUGGCAGGCCUUACUCGAUAGAGUGUUGUUAUUAGCGAGUGUUGUGUGGGCUAGGGGGCGCGCGAGUCGCCCGUGAUUUCAUAAAUACAACUGUAUCCUGUGUAUCCACA